rnacentral:pre_miRNA from 1 species
GCGGCUCGCCGGAUCUAGCGGCAGAGCUCGGGCUCUCGAUCCGGGUGAGCUCGAGCUUUGUCGCUAGAUCCGGCGCGCUCG